rnacentral:rRNA from 1 species
UACGAAGGGGGCUAGCGUUGCUCGGAAUCACUGGGCGUAAAGCGCACGUAGGCGGCUUCUUAAGUCAGGGGUGAAAUCCUGGAGCUUAACUCCAGAACUGCCUUUGAUACUGAGAAGCUUGAGUCCGGGAGAGGUGAGUGGAACUGCGAGUGUAGAGGUGAAAUUCGUAGAUAUUCGCAAGAACACCAGUGGCGAAGGCGGCUCACUGGCCCGGUACUGACGCUGAGGUGCGAAAGCGUGGGGAGCAAACAGG